rnacentral:lncRNA from 1 species
CUUCUUCUCCACACUCACAAAUCAUUUCUAAAACCUAAACUAUAGCCAUGGAUGAACACAUGCACGGCAUGGGAGGGAUGGCGCCGUCGCCGCCAACCACAAACGACACCAUGAUGCACAGCAAGAUGAUGAUACACAUGACCUUCUUCUGGGGCAAAGACACUGAAAUUCUCUUCCAAAACUGGCCCGGAGGCAAAUCGGAUAUGUACGUCUUGGCCCUCGUUGUCGUUUUCCUCAUGUCGGUUUUCGUCCAGUUACUCUCUCACACCCGUUUCAUUAAACCCGGUUCCGACCAUAUCUUGGCCGGUCUGUUCAAGACCCUCUUGUUCGCUUUCAGGGUUGGUCUCGCUUAUCUGGUUAUGCUUUCAAUCAUGUCUUUUAAUGGUGGCGUGUUCUUGGUUGCUGUGCUAGGUCAGACCUUGGGGUUUCUCAUUUCCACCUAUGCCUUCAACAAAUCGCCCCACAAGGACGGUUUUGAUCUUCCUCCAAUUUCUUGUUAAUUAGAUUAUGUUCUCUGUUCUUUUUAAGUUUUCUUUUCUUUCCUUUUCGUAUUGGUUGUAACAUAUGCAUAUGUUUUUGUGUUGAACUGUAGAUGACAAUAGGGUUGUGUUUAUGCGAAUAGUCGUUGAUGUUGCUGUUAAUGAGUUCAUUUGUGUUUGUUUGUUCACUUUGCGUCCAACCCACUAUUAUUCGCUCCUAUAUACCAGAACCAAUUAUGCUGACAAAUAUAAUGAACGGUGCAGCAGAGAGAACCAUGGUGACUAAUUACCCAGUUUUAGCAAAUUAAAGUUCAAAAGCACAGAUUGAAAUUUUGAUUCAAUUUCCAGUCAAGAAAAUUUAACAGAUUUUUUAUCCUUAACAGAUUAAAUAUUUAUAACAGAAUCAGCCAAUGAAAAAAACAAUUGAUUGAUUUGUAAAAAAUAAUUAAAAUUCACAUUAGAUUGCAUAGUUAUGCUUAAAAUGAAAAGAGUCAAUAAGAAAGUUUUAAAGCUCUCAAAGAUUUAUACUGGUUUACUUAAAACUGAACUACAUCCAUUUCCAUUAUAAUGAAUUUCACUAAAUUAAAAGAAUCUUUUACAAAAAGUUUAUCAAGAACAACUUUUUAACCCUAUAAGAACUAAAACUACAACCUUUUAAAAACUAUUACAUCAAUGUUAUGCUUCAAGAAAUACCAUCUUACAAGCAAAUAAAUACAAUCUUACAAAGUAUAAGAAAAAUCAAAUGAAUACACUUUUCUUGCAGACACAACAGGGAUCUUCCAAACUGCAACACCUUUAUGAAUCCUUGAUCUCAAGCUAGUGAUGAAAAUGACAGUAUAAAGAACUCACAAAGACUUUUUAAAACCAGUAAACAUGUAUGUAUUGAAGAGAUGUCUAAGACAAAAAAAUAAAAACAAGUCUUCCUUUUAUAGAUUUAAAACUGAAUCUAAAUCCAAAACAAUUUUGAAAACUCUUAAAGAAAAUAAGAGGUUGAAAAGGGAAAUAACAGGUUGGUUUUCUGAAAAACACUUAGACAGUUUAAAACAGAUUUUUGAAUCGUUAAAACUGAAAAUGGAAACAAAACUAACUCAAAAAUAACUUUUGGAAGAAAACACAUCAGAAAACUUUUAAUUGAUUGUUUCUUCAAAUAACUAAUUGAAAAGUUGUACUUUUCAGGAAAAGAAAAAAUUAAAUCAAUUGAAAACAAUUUUAACCAAUUGAAAAAGUUGUAGUGUUUCUAAAGAAGUUAACAACACUUUUGAAAAACCUUAUAGUUAUUUAAAAACAGUUUAACUCUUUUGUUGUGCUUUGAUCAUUCAUCAUGUGCUUGAGUUAGAAGAUAAUUCAAGAUACCAAACACUAGUCUAAUCUACCUAGACUCUUUAUGAGGUACCAAGUCUUCUUUUCAAGACUUAUGACUUCAUCAACUUCUCUUUAAGACUUAUGACUUCAUCAACUUUUCUUCAAGGCUCAUGACUUUAUCAAACAUAUUUAGUUGGAUAGCUUGAGAUAUCCAACAAGAUCAAGAGAUCUUAUACAAGGUAUAAUUAGGCCAAGGUGAAGGUAGAAAAAUAUGAGAUAAAAGACUUAAGACCCGUAGAUAAUAGAAGAACUUUGAGUAAAGAUUUCAAAGUAAUGUACAUCUCAAUUAGACUCCUUCCUUUAUACUUUUUUAUUCUAAAUUUUAAUUUCUCAUCUUUUUUAGAUUUUUAGCAUAUUUUGUUUCUUUUUUUUCUAGACAUUUCUCAUUUUUCUUUUAUUUUCUUUCUUUUCUUUUGCAUAUAAUUUCCUUAUUUAUUUUCUUUUUCAAUAAAAACUUUUUUACAUAAGUAGACUAAAAUGAAAUAUACCCUCACAAUUGUUAAAAACCUAUUUUUAAAAUGAUUCCAAAGUUCCUUUACCCUUUAAGUUAAGAACAAUCAUUAUUAUCUCAUGUGACCCAAGUUACAAAAUAUAGAAUUAUUCUAAAUUUUGGAGUAAACAAACGUAAGUAAAAGCACCCAAAAAAAAACCCAAUUAGCUUAUGAAAAAAUGUAUUUACUCAUCAUAUAUGUGCUCUUUUAAUUUAAAAUUAAACAAAUUCAGUGUAUAUUAGAUCAAUUAAAAUCAAUUUCAAUGUCAACUCCAUACUCACAUCACCUCUUCAUUUACAUACUGAAAAAUAUAAAAGUUGUCGUUAAAUAUGAAUCACUAAAGUAUUUAAACAUCAUUGCGGGAAUGUCGUAAAGGGAUGGAUCAUGCCUUCUGUGUGUACUUUUCAUUUACCCAAAAAAAGAAAUAUAAAAAAGAAGAAUAUCUUUUAAAUGUGGAGAAAAAUAUAUUCGUAUUAAGAACAGAUGGGUAAUUAUUUUUAGCAGUUGAAGUUAUUGAAACAAUUUUUGUCUUUUACCCAUAAUUAGAAGUGGAAACGAGAAUAAUUUUGAAAGCACACAAAUAUUAUUAUUUUUGUUUAGUAACAAGGGGAGUGUAAUUCUAUUAAAGGGUUGAAGCUAAUGAAAUCAAAUUUGUCCUUUUUGUUAAAAAAGUUGGCUAAGAAUUAAAAUCUGAUGAAACCCAUUUAAAAACAGACGCAGAUUUUAGAAAUAAGAGCGUCAUGAAUGUAAAAUUAGGAAAAUGUAAAUAUUUUUGUGAGUAAAUAAAAAAAUUACACAGAUAGGCAAAAUAAGGAAAGAUUGAGAACUCUUUGGGUUCAUUAGUGGCGUAGGUCGCUUCACAUCCACUUAAAGCCAUGCCAAUUUCUCCAACUAUCACCGCAACAUUGCCCAAUCCGAAUCAUGAUAAAAUCUUAUCAAUAGAGAAUUUGUUUUUCAGAAAAAUAGCCACAUCAAUAUCUAGAUAUAUAUCUAAGUAACAUUUUAAUUAAAAUAAAUCUAUUUUUUUAUUAAAUAUCUUUUUUAAUACUUUUUAAAACUUUGACGUGAUAGAAUGAAUUUGUUGAAAAAUAUUUUUUAUAUUUGAAAUUUAAAAUUUAAAGCAAAAAUAUGUAUUAUUUAUUUAAUAAGUUGUGUAAGAAAGAAAAAUUAUCCAUGAUCACGAAGUCUAUAUUUUAGGGAUUCUAAACUGAUUGGAUCAUAUUUUGUUCGCGUUCUAUCUACGUUGGAUUCCUUUUCUUUGUUGUUUUCUCGAUAAAUAACAAAGAAAAGGAAAUAAACAUGAAUUUAUUGUUUUUGAAAAUCAAUUAAAUUGCGUAUUACAGUACAAUUGGAAAAUACGUUUGGUUGUAGAGGAAUACGUAGUACCACACCGUUGUACUACUUCCUUCACCAAUCUCAUUUAAUUCACCCAACACACUCUUGUCACACCUGCUUCUUCUCCACACACUCACAAAUCAAUUUCAAAACCUAAGAAAUAGCCAUGGAUGGACACAUGCACGGCAUGGGAGGGAUGGCGCCGUCGCCGCCAACCGCAAACGACACCAUGGACACCACGAUGCACCGCAAGAUGAUGAUGCACAUGACCUUCUUCUGGGGCAAAGACACUGAUAUUCUCUUCCAGAACUGGCCCGGAGGCAAAUCGGAUAUGUACGUCUUGGCCCUCGUUGUCGUUUUCCUCAUGUCGGUUUUCCUCCAGUUGCUCUCCCACACCCGUUUCAUUAAACCCGGUUCC